UUCGCCCUGGCGAAAGCGGUUACCACGACAGAAUCGAAAUCUGUUUCUCCUGGACUGCGCAGGUUCGAAACCUGCCGAUAAAU